rnacentral:rRNA from 1 species
CCUACGGGGGGCUGCAGUGGGGAAUAUUGGACAAUGGGGGGAACCCUGAUCCAGCCAUGCCGCGUGUGUGAAGAAGGCCCUCGGGUUGUAAAGCACUUUCAGUGAGGAAGAACGCCUGGUGGUUAAUACCCAUCAGGAAAGACAUCACUCACAGAAGAAGCACCGGCUAACUCCGUGCCAGCAGCCGCGGUAAUACGGAGGGUGCGAGCGUUAAUCGGAAUUACUGGGCGUAAAGCGCGCGUAGGUGGCUUGAUAAGCCGGUUGUGAAAGCCCCGGGCUCAACCUGGGAACGGCAUCCGGAACUGUCAAGCUAGAGUGCAGGAGAGGAAGGUAGAAUUCCCGGUGUAGCGGUGAAAUGCGUAGAGAUCGGGAGGAAAACCAGUGGCGAAGGCGGCCUUCUGGACUGACACUGACACUGAGGUGCGAAAGCGUGGGUAGCAAACAGGAUUAGAUACCCCGGUAGUC